AAAGCCAGUCUCAAAGAUAUCCAAUGCCCAAACACUCAAAGUGCUUGUUAUGAUUCAUAAUGCAUAACAACCGGUCAAAAGGAUUAGCUAUGUCCUCUUAUGUGGGAACUUGCUCUAACAUAAUCUCUUGUUUCUAAUAUCUCUUAAAAUCUGCCAACAAUGCUAAGCACACAAACUACACCUUGUGUAAUGAAAAUCAUGACAUUCAUGACCAUCCUAUUGCCCUAGCGUUAGGAUCAUUCUUUGUGCAUUAAAUCUCAUUGUCAUUAGAAGGACAAUCCUUCCUUGACAAAAAGAUGCCAUAUUCCAUUGGUAGAUGUCCUUUCGGACUUCUUCAUGGAG
rnacentral:lncRNA from 1 species